UCUAGGUGUGUGCGACCAUGGAAUGG
rnacentral:piRNA from 1 species